rnacentral:rRNA from 1 species
GGAGAAUCUUCCGCAAUGGACGAAAGUCUGACGGAGCAACGCCGCGUGAGUGAUGACGGCCUUCGGGUUGUAAAGCUCUGUUAAUCGGGACGAAUGGUUCUUGUGCAAAUAGUGCGAGGAUUUGACGGUACCGGAAUAGAAAGCCACGGCUAACUACGUGCCAGCAGCCGCGGUAAUACGUAGGUGGCAAGCGUUGUCCGGAAUUAUUGGGCGUAAAGCGCGCGCAGGCGGAUUGGUCAGUCUGUCUUAAAAGUUCGGGGCUUAACCCCGUGAUGGGAUGGAAACUGCCAAUCUAGAGUAUCGGAGAGGAAAGUGGAAUUCCUAGUGUAGCGGUGAAAUGCGUAGAUAUUAGGAAGAACACCAGUGGCGAAGGCGACUUUCUGGACGAAAACUGACGCUGAGGCGCGAAAGCCAGGGGAGCGAACGGGAUUAGAUACCCCGGUAGUCCUGGCCGUAAACGAUGGGUACUAGGUGUAGGAGGUAUCGACCCCUUCUGUGCCGGAGUUAACGCAAUAAGUACCCCGCCUGGGGAGUACGACCGCAAGGUUG